CUAACACAUGCAAGUCGAACGGGUAACAGGAAGAAGCUUGCUUCUUUGCUGACGAGUGGCGGACGGGUGAGUAAUGUCUGGGAAACUGCCUGAUGGAGGGGGAUAACUACUGGAAACGGUAGCUAAUACCGCAUAACGUCGCAAGACCAAAGAGGGGGACCUUCGGGCCUCUUGCCAUCGGAUGUGCCCAGAUGGGAUUAGCUAGUAGGUGGGGUAACGGCUCACCUAGGCGACGAUCCCUAGCUGGUCUGAGAGGAUGACCAGCCACACUGGAACUGAGACACGGUCCAGACUCCUACGGGAGGCAGCAGUGGGGAAUAUUGCACAAUGGGCGCAAGCCUGAUGCAGCCAUGCCGCGUGUAUGAAGAAGGCCUUCGGGUUGUAAAGUACUUUCAGCGGGGAGGAAGGGAGUAAAGUUAAUACCUUUGCUCAUUGACGUUACCCGCAGAAGAAGCACCGGCUAACUCCGUGCCAGCAGCCGCGGUAAUACGGAGGGUGCAAGCGUUAAUCGGAAUUACUGGGCGUAAAGCGCACGCAGGCGGUUUGUUAAGUCAGAUGUGAAAUCCCCGGGCUCAACCUGGGAACUGCAUCUGAUACUGGCAAGCUUGAGUCUCGUAGAGGGGGGUAGAAUUCCAGGUGUAGCGGUGAAUGCGUAGAGAUCUGGAGGAAUACCGGUGGCGAAGGCGGCCCCUGGACGAAGACUGACG
rnacentral:rRNA from 1 species